UACCAGACUCCUACGGGAGGCAGCAGUGGGGAAUAUUGCACAAUGGGGGAAACCCUGAUGCAGCGACGCCGCGUGAGUGAAGAAGUAUUUCGGUAUGUAAAGCUCCAUCAGCAGGGAAGAAAAUGACGGUACCUGAUUAAGAAGCCCCGGCUAACUACGUGCCAGCAGCCGCGGUAAUACGUAGGGGGCAAGCGUUAUCCGGAUUCACUGGGUGUAAAGGGAGCGUAGACGGCGACGCAAGUCUGGAGUGAAAGCCCGGGGCCCAACCCCGGGACUGCUCUUGGAACUGCGCGGCUGGAGUGCAGGAGGGGCAGGCGGAAUUCCUGGUGUAGCGGUGAAAUGCGUAGAUAUCAGGAGGAACACCGGUGGCGAAGGCGGCCUGCUGGACUGCGACUGACGUUGAGGCCCGAAAGCGUGGGGAGCAAACAGGAUUAGAUACCCCUGUACU
rnacentral:rRNA from 1 species